UACACACCGCCCGUCACACCAUGGGAGUGGGUUUCGCCAGAAGUAGUUAGCCUAACCGCAAGGAGGGCGACUACCACGGUGAGAUUCAUGACUGGGGUG
rnacentral:rRNA from 1 species